UACGGAAGGCAGCAGUGGGGAAUAUUGCACAAUGGGCGCAAGCCUGAUGCAGCCAUGCCGCGUGUAUGAAGAAGGCCUUCGGGUUGUAAAGUACUUUCAGUCGUGAGGAAGGUGUUAAGAUUAAUAACCUUAGCAAUUGACGUUAGCGACAGAAGAAGCACCGGCUAACUCCGUGCCAGCAGCCGCGGUAAUACGGAGGGUGCGAGCGUUAAUCGGAAUUACUGGGCGUAAAGGGCACGCAGGCGGUUAAUUAAGUUGGAUGUGAAAUCCCCGGGCUUAACCUGGGAAUGGCAUUCAAGACUGGUUAGCUAGAGUCUUGUAGAGGGGGUAGAAUUCCAUGUGUAGCGGUGAAAUGCGUAGAGAUGUGGAGGAAUACCGGUGGCGAAGGCGGCCCCUGGACAAAGACUGACGCUCAUGUGCGAAAGCGUGGGGAGCAAACAGGGAUUAGAUACC
rnacentral:rRNA from 1 species